CUUCCCAAAGUGCUGGAAUUACAGGCGUGAGCCACUGCUCCCAGCCUCUUUUAUGAUAUAUGCAUAACAUUUUGAGUAGCUUAUACUUCAUUGACUUUCAGGAAUUUCACAGCAGUCAUUCCUAAGAAUUGGUCUGUCUAUAGUGGCCUUUGGAAUGCCUAAUAACCUUAUGUUAAUGUUGCAUAAAACCUUUGGCAGUCUUUCUUACGUAAAGCUGCUUCAUGUGCCUGGAGUCAGAAGCUUACUUAUCUUUUUAUUCUUGGUACCUAGCUUAAUGUGAUCGGUCAGUCUUGGUUAGAUUAGUGGAUGAUUGAAAAUAUUAUGUAAUGGAUAUGAAUAGCCCCUGGAAAUAGUAAAGAGUGGAUCACACUUAACACUUUUAAUAAUAGAAAUAACUUUUUCUCUUACUUGUUUUUUUUUUUUUUUUUUUUUUUUCAGCAUAACCCUUGGUUCAUAUUUUUUCUAGAGUAAGCUCCUAUGACUUGAUUUUAACUUUACCUCUUUACUAUCAGUUCAUCAAAAAUGUUCUGUGAAAAAAACACUUUAUGUUUUACUAUACUAACGUUAAGCUCUUCUUAUUCUAAGUCACAAUCUGGACCCAUUUAACUGCUUUAGCUUUAUUUUCUGUUGUCCUAUAUUCUCUAGCUGUUGUUUCUCCUCCUGUGUUGGAGAAACCUUUUCCUUCUUGUUUCAGGGCAAGUCAAACUUCCACUUCCUGGAAUCAUGCCUUGGUCUCCGAGCACCAAUCUCAUGAACUUCUGAGCUAUUUCUGUUUCUCCCCGCCAGUUAAUGAAAUUAUAUGUGUCCCUACGUUUUACAAAAUUGAUCUAUCUCCAGCUAGCUUAUAACUUCAUUACUAUGAUUGUUCUUCGUUGUUUUUUUUUUUUUUUUUUUUUUUGUAUUUUAAUUCUUUUCUUUCUAGCAUAUGGUAGAAUGGUAAGUACUUUGUAGUCACACAAUAAAUACUAUACAAACUAGGUAAUAUCUAGCUUUAUAGUAGCAAGACAAGCUUCCUCCUAAAGAAAGUAAGAAAGGAAGAUGGACAGAAAGACAAAAAGGAAGACAAAACAGAAGAAAAGAAAGGAAAGAAGAUGGAAGGAAGAACAAAGAAGAAAGGUCAGCAAGAAUAUUUUGAGGGAAAGAGUACUAUUUCUGGAAUUUUAAAAACUUGAAUUUAAAUUCUGAUUCUGCUUACUAGCUUUGUAAUAUUGGAUGAGUUUCAUAAUCUUUGGGUGUAAAAUGGCAAUCAUCUAUCUGACAAACUUGUAAGGAUUAAAUUAUAUAGUGUAUAUAAAAUGCUUAUUGGCACACUCUGACACAUAUUCGAUGUUAAAUAAAUGAUAUUAUUUUGCAUGUAAGGAAAGAAGUUGAGAGAGCUGACCAAGGGUCAUAUAGCUAGUAAAUUGUGGAGAGAGAAUUGAAAACCAGGCCAUUCUUACCCUAAAGCAGUGUUUUUCAAACAUUAGUGCAUUUGAGAAUUAUCUGAAAGACUUGUUAAAACACUGGGCCCCACUCCAGAGUUUCUGAUUCACUAGGUCUGGGGUGAGGCCUGAGAAUUUGCAUUUCUAACGUGUUUCCUGUUGCUGUUGCUGCUGCUGCUGGUCCAGAGACCACUCUUCAAGAACCAGUGCAUUCUGGCAUAUUUCUCAACCCUAGUUGCACCUAAGAAAUCAUCCUGAUGAGCUCCUAUAAAUUACUGAUGAAACCAGAAUCUCUGGUUAUGGGGCCUAAGUGUUGUUGAUUUUUAGGUUUUUGUUUAAGCUGUCUAGGGGAUUCUAGCGUGCAGCCAGGGUAGGAAGCACCACUCUGCCUAAGUGAGGCUCUUUGCAGUUUUGUCUUAGAACGAACUGGGUAUUAAAUGAAGCGGCUGACCUUGUACCCUCCUGGAUGCCCAGUGAGGCAAGGCCUUAGUAGCGUGUUAUUUUUCUGCCGUUAAGUUUUAAAACAAUUGCUUCAGCCUAGAGUCCUUUUACUAAUUUACCUGUUAUACUUGUUUGUGUGCACUGUUUGCAUUUCUCCAUCUGCACCCUCAGUGUAUCCUGAAUGCCUUCAUCAAUCUCUAGGGUGGAUUUUAUGUUUAUAUUUGUCAAAAGCAAGUAUUUAGCAAUAGUUGACUUGAAGUAUAAAGUAAAUAAAGUAAUAUAUCUAAUUCUUAAAAAAGCAGUCACAUUAACAACUUAAUGUACUUUAAGAGUUCUAAUUAUGAGUUUAUUCUUUUUUUCUGAGAUGCUUUGGAAACCUUACAUUUUGUUUUAGAUGGCGCAGUUAUUGGUUAGAGUAGGAAAUGAUAAUUGUGCACCCAGGAGUAUAUAAAUAAAAAUGUAAUAGAUUAUUUGAUAAAGGAGUCAUUUUUUCUUUGUAUGAUUCAGUUGGUAAAUAUAUACAAAUCAAGGCAUGAAAUCAUUUCCUGGAUAAGAGUGGACAAAAUACCAUAUAAUUUCAUUAACCUUUAAGCAAUGAAAUUAUAAAUCCCUAUGCAAAUGUUUAAGGUUAUCAUUGCCUAUCACCCCCUUUUGAUUCCUACAGACUGUUAAUUCUUCUCUGUCCUGCUGAGUCUUAUUAAAACUUCUGACUGAUGUACUUUUAUUAAAAGGUUUAGAAUUUACCAAUUUAAAACACUUGCUUCACACUAUCACCUCUAAUUUAACUAGGCCCAUUAAACACUGUAUUUUGCAAAGGGACAAAGUCAAUUGCUGUUUCUUUAAAAAAUAAUAAAUUGAAAUGAAUUUUAAAUUCUGCUUAGAGGUGAGCAACUGCUGUAUACUACUAGGUCUUUUGAUAGCUGAUUUGUUCCUUUAGUAUGCAAAUUUUAGGUUUACAGAGAUCUAGUGCUUUUAUUUAGGAAAUAUGCCCAGAGGCUAGAUUGGUAGGCUUUAGGGAGAUAUCUAGUUUGGUGUGAAAUAAAUAGUUGUUAAAGGAUCACAUGAAUUGGGUCCCAGAAGAUGAAGAGUAGAACUGAGACAGAUUGAGGAAAACUGACUGUAAUUCAUUUCAUUUGGCUAUAAAUAUCACUGAAUUAAAAAUGAAGACAAUGAGUGAUGGCAAUGCAAAGCAAAUUAAUGAAAAUAAGCCACUUUUUGUGGGUUUUCUGAAAAGUUAUGUCUUCUGAGCAGUUUAAAGAAAAGGGCUAUGUACGCCCCUGACCAAAGAAGCUUGGUUCACAUCGUUCUGGGAGGCCAGCCUUUUGAGAGAUAGUAGCUUUAUGAGGAAAGAAUGGGUCAACUCCCCUCCCAUCCCACGCAAGUCAAGUCAGCAGCAUCACUUCUGGUUAGUGACAUGACAGAUGUCAUAGACAACUUUACAUUCAAAACAAGAGGACUCAGGUAUGCUAGCUUAGAUUGGCAAUUGUAGAUAUUCUGGCUUGCAAAUGUUAAAUAAUAAAAUUAAACUCUUAGCUUUGGGAAGUUUGUUUUAAGAGGUCGUAAACUGGUUUUGUAGCACUGCUCUUUUGGAAUCUCUGACUUCCAAACAUUUAUUUUUCCUUAAAUAACUGAAAAAUAAUGAAAUAUAUUCCUAUAUUGAUAGUUUGUAGAAUCCACUUUUUUUUUUUUUUUUUUAAACAGUACGUAUAUCUUUUUGGUUGUCUUUAAACAGUUAGGCCCUCAAGAGGUAGACUGUUUCAAUAGUGUUAGCAUUUGAAAUGGCCUCUGUAUACCUAUUUGUUGUGUAUCUCUGGUGGUGGAGGUGCAGAGGGCAUGAGUGAUGAUGAUGUGUGAAGUUGGGAUGCUAGAUUCUUUCAUUGAGGCUGGAGGUUUGUAAUCUUAUCAUUAAAGUUUCAAAGAGGUGUGGUGGGUACGUGUGCCAAAGCCACAGUCUUUGUAGAGUGAGGAAUGAGAAUAGGUUCUUGCCAGCCUUAGAAAUGGUGGUUUUGGUACAGUGAUGGGUAAGGAAGUUAUGGUAGUUCAAGCAUUGAAUGGAAGUUGAAAUAAAGACAACGAGCUUAUAUUAUUUUAUGAAGCUUCACAGGGAUAGUUGACAGGGUUGGAAGAACUGUGAUAUUGAUGAAGAAGAAGGAAUCGGUGGAAUAGAAAGGGAGCAAAUGGAUGGUGCAAGUUCUUAGAAAUAGCAUAAAUGACUAGGACUCAUUGUACAGGUGGAGGGAUUAGUAAUGGAAAAGAGAGUCAACCAUGAGAUAGGAAUGAAAGUGUUAUGAGACAGGAGAAUUUGCAUAUGUAGAGUGUGGGUUCUUAGUUGCAGGGUUCUUAGAUGCAGGCGACAGCUAGUUUGAGACGCCUACAGAGAUGUAUCACAUGCUACUUAAUUUGCAGAAGUGCCAAGGAACCCAAGUUGACUGUGAAUAGCUAGGAACAGCUCAAGCCAUGAGAAACACCCCAUGAUACUAUUCUAGUAGAAACUCCACUGCCAUUUGCUACUUAGAACCUAUAAGAUUAGGGAUCAGUUAGUAGCAUAUCUAUAUAGUUGUUUCAGAAGAACAAAAUACCUUUACUAUAAGAUUUGAACUCAUUUUUAGUUGGCUACUUUCUUGAUUUGCUCACUUCUUUUUAAACCUUAAAUAGAUUUGGUUGAACCUAUGUCUCCUGUGGAAGACAUGAUGUAAGAAGAUCAGGGAAAUGUUUUUGAGCUUUGUGAAUACAGUAAGUUAGAGUGCAUGUUAGAAAGGGAUUGAAGUGCAGGCUGGGCAAUUCUGGCACUUGGUCUUUCAUGAGCUGCAAUCAAGAUGUCACCUAGAGUGACAGUCAUUUGAAAGUUCGACUAGCCUGGAGGAUCUGCUUAGAAAAUGGCUGUCUCACAUGGCUGUUAAGUUGAUUCUGGCUUUUUGGCAAGAUGCCUUGUGUACCUUUCCCUAGGACUGCUUGAGUAUCCUUACAAUGUGGCGGCUGGUAGCUGGCUUCCCUCAGGAAGAUCCAAAAGAGUAAGGAAGAAGCUGUAAUAUCUUUUAGGAAAGACACUAUUACUUCUGCUGCAUCCUCUUGAUCACUCAGGCCAACCCUGAUAUGAGUGAAGGGAUUACACAAAGGCAUGAAUUCCUUAAGGUGAGGAUUACUGGGGGCUCUCUUGGAGGCUGGCUGCCUUAUAUACCCUCUUCUCCCCUUUCUUUGAUAGUACAUGUUGAUCAGAUUUGUCUGUAGAAGCAAAAAAUGAAAUUCUUUUAAUAAAAUGGAAUUUGACAAGAAUUUGGAUACAAAGUGGUUCUUUGUAUUAAGGGUACACAGUGUGCAGUAUUGUCAGCCAGUUUUUAAAGAGAUACAGAAAUGCCAUUCAUUUACUUGUUCUCAGAUUUAUAGUCUAAAAGCAGAGCUUGUGUCAUAACAUUACCACUCAAUCUAGGUGUGUGUAUUUUGAAGUGUAGAGAUAAUGAGGUAGUGAUACUGUCUUCUAGAAUAGCUAUUCUGUCUUCUCUGAAAUUCACAGGUGUGGCUAGCUGUCCCUAACGUCAUUUCCUGGUCUCAACUCUGUAAGACUCUUAGAGAGUCUGAGAAUGGGAGUGAAGAUUUCUGUGACAUGCUGGGCAUCUCUGCAUUAGCCAGAUUGGACAUAUGUAAAGGGGCAUCAGUAUAUCUGGAUCAUCAGGUUGUACUUCAAGAAGACCAUAGGGAAGAACACAUUUUCAGCUUGCUGCAAAAGUUGCAAUAGAAGAUCUGAAGGUUUGAAUGGGCCAAUGAGUAUUCUCAUCAUUGAAGCAUUCUAUGGAGGGUCCCAUAAACAACUGGUGGAUCUUCUCCAAGAAGAGUUAGGAGACUGUGUCCUUUAUACCCUUCCUGCAAAGAAAUGGCAUUGGAGAGCUCGGACAUCUGCUUUAUACUUCUCUCAGAACAUUCCCAUCAGUGAGCAUUACAGGAUCCUCUUUGCAAGCUCAGUGCUUAACCUGACUGAACUGGCUGCCCUUCGGCCUGACCUUGGGAAACUGAAAAAGAUUCUGUACUUUCACGAGAACCAGUUGGUAUAUCCUGUCAAGAAAUGUCAGGAGAGGGAUUUCCAAUAUGGAUACAACCAAAUUCUUUCAUGCCUGGUGGCUGAUGUGGUUGUAUUCAACUCAGUUUUUAAUAUGGAAUCAUUUCUCACUUCCAUUGGAAGAUUUAUGAAGCUGAUUCCUGAUCAUAGACCUAAGGAUCUGGAAAGCAUCAUCAGACCCAAGUGCCAAGUUAUUUAUUUUCCCAUCAGGUUUCCUGAUGUGAGCAGAUUCAUGCCCAAGCACAAAACAACCCAUUUAAAGAAGAUGCUCAGCCUUACAGGAAAUGGCGGUGCAGUUCUGUCCACGGCCCUUCCUUUUCAGCCAGAGCAGAGAGAUUCAGAGGAUUUAUUGAAGAAUUUUAAUUCAGAGUGUGAUACACACUCUGGCCUUGCUACUGCACAACAAGAAUGUUUGGGUAACUCAGGAAGACAGGAGUCAGACUUGAAAAAGUCCAAGUCCUCAGAUAAUUCCGGCUGUCAUCAUGGAGAGAAUAAACAAGAUCUGACUGUUAAUCCCGACAUUUUGGGUGAAGUUGAUAAUCAGCAAAGACUGCUGCACAUUGUCUGGCCUCACAGGUGGGAGCAUGAUAAAGAUCCAGAAAGCUUUUUUAAGGUAUUAAUGCAUCUUAAGGACUUAGGACUCAAUUUCCGUGUCUCAAUCCUUGGAGAAACCUUCACAGAUGUCCCAGAUAUUUUUUCAGAGGCCAAAAAGGCAUUGGGAUCUUCUGUCUUACACUGGGGCUACUUACCCAGCAAAGAUGACUAUUUCCAAGUACUAUGCAUGGCUGAUGUUGUCAUCUCAACAGCUAAGCAUGAAUUCUUUGGAGUGGCAAUGUUGGAAGCUGUGUACUGUGGGUGUUACCCACUUUGUCCUAAAGAUUUGGUUUAUCCCGAAAUAUUUCCAGCUGAAUAUCUGUAUUCAACACCUGAACAGCUUUCAAAAAGGCUCCAGAAUUUCUGCAAGAGACCAGCUAUUAUAAGAAAACAUCUCUAUAAGGGUGAAAUCACUCCAUUUUCUUGGGCAGCCCUACAUGGUAAAUUCAGGUCUCUGCUUACAACAGAACCUAGGGAAGAUUUGUGACAGAUGGGGCUAAGUCACAAACUUGCAGCCUAAGGCAGAAUCUGAAGAACUUUCCAGAGUGUGCCCAUAUUUACCUGAUCAGAGAGAAAAGAAAAUCUGCAGAGGAAGCUGAGCCUGGCUGCUUGUCAUAGCUGACACAGAGCCAUCUGCCACAAACCUGUGGCGGCUUCAGAUCUCCAAUCCCUGCCACCACCCCAACUCAAAUUAAAUACAGAUUCCUAGAGACGUUAUGAUGGUUACACAUGUCCUCGGCAUCACAUGUAGGAGACUGUUCAAAAAAAUAUGUGGCCUGUUGUAUAACCGCACUCAUGUAUCCCAUAUGUGGUGCCACAUUGAAUUUCCGGUUGAAUCCGUUUUUAUCCUUUGUACUGGAUGACAUGGUGCCUGAAUUCUUUCUUUUCGCCGACACGAUGGCAGCCAAACUGCAGCUUCAAACGCUCACACUUGGCUGGGUUUCUACCUAGGUUGCCAGGUUAUCGUCGGAGCCUUCUUGUGUCCUCAAAGGGCCACGAGGCCUGUAAGGAGGAUCAGAAUGCUUCGGAACUAAUUGGGCAGCCAUCGCAGAAUUGUUUGUGGGCAAAGGGCUGCUUUAGCACUUUUCUUUUAGCAAAUUAAUGACUCUCAGGCAUAGGUUUUUAAGUGAAGGUAUUAAUAAGAGGUCUGGCAGGUAUUCCCAUGAUUCACAUAGUUACAUUUGCAUUUCAUUAAUCUUAAAGAAAGUUGCAAGAUAAACAGCUGUAAUUCGGACAAGCAUGACAAACACAGUGAGGGCAUCUAGCCCAUAAAAUGAGCACUGACAUAGUUGUUUUAAUUUUUUUCCCCAGGUAAAAAUAGAGAAAUCAAAAUACUUCUAACAAAACCAGUAAUUUUGAUAGAAAUAUUUCUCAAAAAUACUUGCAUCCACCUACAAAUAUAACCUUUUCAAGAUAAACGCUUGUGAUUCCAAUAGUCAAACUGCUGUGUUUGUUGAUGUAAAGAUGUUUUGAAUGGCUAGAUGGUAAAAUAAGUUUUUAAUAAAGUACCCACUGCCAUUUUUAAUUAGCAUAUUCAUUUACGUAUAGAUGUAUACAUCUACCUAUAUGUUUCUCACUGAAUGUUUUCCUUGUGACAGAGACAACGAAUACAAUUGUUUCUUUUCCGGAUGAACAAGGAUCUGUUUUGCAAAUGUUUGUAAGAUAUUAUGACAUUUCCAAGAUUUUCUUUGCAUUCUGGAAAGCAGGAGGUAAACAUUUGUAGUCAUUAAGAUGUAUUUCAUGUUACACCUGCCAGUAUUUGUAUUCUUAAUGACCAAAAGGAGAGGAAUGCAGAAGAAUUGAUUUCUGUACUAAAAGUUCAGACUCUGUGGUGUUUGUGAUAUUUCUGAACAACUGAUCCUUCUCUAUUGCCUUUCGAAUCAUACAACGACAGAGUUACUCACCCAGGUAUGUAUAAGGCUGACCUUCAUCGGAAAGGCAGCCCCCCUCAUCUUCCCACACAGGGCGGAAGAGCAGAGGGAGCAGGUGGCAGCCUGGUAGCACUUUUAACUGUGCAGCACUGGGCCUGCUUCCUCUCAUCCAAAAGCGAUAACACAGAAAUUACAUCCCGAGACUUACUUCCCCAGAAAGAAAAGGAAGGGGAAAGAUAACUUAAAAAGGAGAAACUUCUAAUAUGGUAUUAGACUGUAAUUCAUAGGGAAAUUUGUGCCUGAGAUAUGAAUUUCUGAAAAUAGGGGGCUUUUUGGAAGGGAAACACUGACACGUCCUUAAUUAUAGAGUAAUAAAUACCAAUGGUAUAUUAUCUUUCGAUAUUUCCUUACACAGAUAUCAAAGCAUGCAGCUGGUUUUGAAAACUGAUAAUCAAGUACAAUAUAAGCAUAUUACAUCUUACACUUACAGUACACCCUUCAACUAAGAGCAUCAUGGAGCACUUAACGGUGAGAAACAGAGCUGCUCAUAGUAGAAACCUAACUGAACAAAUUAGGUUUGAAUUGUAACUUAAGAAUCAUAGUCAAACCAAAGCGCCUGUCCUUGCCAGGAAAGGCAUUCCAAAGGCAGAGAGCAUGCCAAGUAAAAAGCCUUUGCUUCAGGAUUAUGGAGGCAGUUCUGAAAAGCCAGCAUAACUUAAUGAUCAAUCAGAAAAAUAUAGAGCAGUAACUACACAACUGAAGGAUGCAUAAAAAUUGUACAAAGCGUUAAUAGUGGAAUGGGGAGGUAGGAUGGGAUUUUACCAGCAAGUAUUAAGCUCUUGGAAAGCUUCAUUUAUUGCCUUCAAUCCACGCAGUAGAAAGAGAAAGGGAAAGACAAACAUGGUCAAAGAAAAGUAUUUGGACAAAUGUAGGGGGUAGAAAAGGAAAUGAAGGUUAAGCAAGGCCAAUAUGAUUCAGAAUAAAAGGGAGGGAGGGAAGUAUAAGGAGCCAGCUGCAAUUACUGAAUGUUACAUUAAGAAGAGCUGAAAUUGAGAGGGGGAGGUCUUGAGUAUUUUACUAAGUGGAUUAAUGUCCUCUUCCUUGGGUGUCUGAAGUUGCAGAUUUUAAUUUAUUUAGUGCAGGGAUUUAUUACGGAAUUUUUAAUGGGUGGGGGAGAUAAACAGGGACAAUUAUAAACUCUUAGGAAGUAGAAAAGAGGACCAUAUAAUACUUUCUGUAAAUUUAACUGUAAUAAACAGGGUUUCAAGCUAUGGACAAAGAUAGUCAAAAAAGUGUUUAGUCCGUGAUAAUAGGAUUUAAAGGGAAAUAAGAGGUAUGUCCAAAAAAACUUAAUAAAGACCAAAACAAAGAAAGAAAACCCCACAUAGACGUGUGAAGCCAAGGAUUUUGAAUGGAGCUAGUUUUAUUGCUGUUCUCCUUUCUCCACCCAUUUAAAAAAUAAAUCAUAACUCUGGCAUUUAAAAACCUACUCAUGAACAUCAUUUAUUAAUAUAAACUUAAUCCUGUGCUAUUCUUUGGUGGGUGGUAAGAACAUGAACUAACAACAACUGGACUAAAAUGAUGGCAACAGGACGAUCCACUCAAACACAGGAAAGCCAAAAGAAAAAAACUAAUCUGUUCCUUCACCUUACUUAUUUUGCAGAAGGAUAAAGCCAAAAAUGGGAGAGGGUGUGGCUAAACCACAGAAAGACUGGUUGCCUAAAGGAAAAAUCUUAAAAGUUUUCCUAAAUAUGUAUUAGAAGUGGAAGGGGGAUUUAAACCUUGUAUGAUUUCUAUCAUUUAGUUAAUCUGCUAAUCUACUUACCUGGAAGGUGAGAAAGAGUGCUGUCUGUCUUCUGCAAUUGAAGAGACUAGGGCAGAAACUUAAUCAUGUUCUUAUCUGUGAGUUCUUAUACCUGGCUGUCGCCUGGCUGGCAACCAGCCCACAGACUACUGGUUCAGGCAUUUGCCUGGCAAACAUGUUAGCCAUCAUUUAAAUUGUUAAAUAUGAAUCAGAAAAUCUUUAAGAAUUACUGAUAAGCAGCUGUUAAUAUUGAAUGUAAUAGUAUUUGGGAUGUGGGUAAAUCAUUUGACUAGAACCACGUGGGGAAAAAAAGGAUUUGGAAAUCUUAUUUUUUUAAAUGCUGUUGGGGAGAUGGCAUUAAUGAAAAAUAUAUAAUUGAAAGUGGAAAAAAAACAUCAUCUACAAAGAGGAAGAUAGGUAAAAAUGACUAAGUAAAGCAGCCUUGUCACCUUCGACCUGAUGCUUCAUUGUAUCAGAAGAAAGUAAACAGAUUGCUAACAAAGAGACAACCCCCUUCUAAUUUCCAAAACUGGCCCAGCAACAGGAGGAGGAAAAUAGAGAAGAAUGCACUGUGUGGUGGCUCAGGGUGAUCCUUUGAGUAUUAAAAAUGAGGGCACAGACCUAGAGGUUUUUAAUGGUCAGUGGGUGGACUUUAGAUUCUGAACACUCUUCCACCUUCUGUGGAGAAUUCGGGACACGGUGGAGUUAAACCAGUAUCUUAAAUCCCAGGGACAGGGUGGAGAUUGCUUUGUGAUCAUGAUUAAUUAAAAGGAAAGAAAUCAAAGCAGACAUCUCUCCUUUUUCUAUUUGAGCCGCAGAGCCAUGGAGGGGAACUUGUGCUCUCUGGUGCUUGCAGCUAUGUUCCCUGGCUUUCAAUCGGCUUGGCUUCUCCCCUUGUAUUUCUAAUGCUGUGAUAACAGGCCAAUAAAAUAGAAUCUACAAAAUUGCAAAACAAAA